rnacentral:rRNA from 1 species
AUGAAGAUACCUCUUAGGAAUAAAAUUUUUGUGUGGUAUCUUCGUCACGGAGUCAUUCUUACUAAAAAUAACCUUAUUAAGAGGACUCGGUAUGGAAGUACGCAAUGCUUAUUUUGUCCGCAUGAUGAGACAAUAAAACAUUUGUUCUUCCGGUGUAAAUUGACUCGUCCUAUAUGGUCAACCAUCCAAAUAGCUUCUGUCUUGUAUCCUCCUUGUAGGGUUGCUAAUAUAGUUGGUAACUGGUUACACGAGAUUGAUCACAGGUUUAGAAUUCUUUUCAGGUGGGAGCGCUUACCGUGA